UACGAAGGGGACUAGCGUUGUUCGGAAUUACUGGGCGUAAAGCGCACGUAGGCGGACGUAUCAGUCAGAGGUGAAAUCCCGGGGCUCAACCUCGGAACUGCCUUUGAUACAGUACGUCUUGAAUCCGGUAGAGGUGAGUGGAAUUCCUAGUGUAGAGGUGAAAUUCGUAGAUAUUAGGAAGAACACCAGUGGCGAAGGCGGCUCACUGGACCGGUAUUGACGCUGAGGUGCGAAAGCGUGGGGAGCAAACAGG
rnacentral:rRNA from 1 species